AGAGGUCAAUUAGCUGCUUUCGGGCGGCCUUAGGCGACAGGAGACUCCUGGACCCAGCACCUGCCCACUGUGCCUGUCCACCUGUGGCUACAGCAGCUGAGACCCCAGUGGGCUAAGAUUGGACAGGGGCCACCAGGGACCCAGCAAGUCCUUCAGCUCUAUUUUUGAAACAUGAAUCCUUCACUCCUCCUGGCUGCCUUUUUCCUGGGAAUUGCCUCAGCUGCUCUAACACGUGACCACAGUUUAGACGCACAAUGGACCAAGUGGAAGGCAAAGCACAAGAGAUUAUAUGGCAUGAAUGAAGAAGGAUGGAGGAGAGCAGUGUGAGAGAACAUGAAGAUGACUGAGCAGCACAAUCAGGAAUACAGCCAAGGGAAACACAGCUUCACAAUGGCCAUGAACGCCUUUGGAGACAUGACCACUGAAGAAUUCAGGCAGGUGAUGAAUGGUUUUCAAUACCAGAAGCACAGGAAGGGGAAACAGUUCCAGGAACGCCUGCUUCUUGAGAUCCCCACAUCUGUGGACUGGAGAGAGAAAGGCUACGUGACUCCUGUGAAGGAUCAGGUGAGACUGUGUUAGGUUCAGACCUCCCAUCACCCCAGGAAAGCCAAGAAGCAAUUGACAUUUGUGCUAUGGUAGACUGUGCAGCAACAUGCAGUUCACUUUUUUUUUUGUAUAAUUUUUUUGUUUGUUUGUUUUGAGACAGAGCCUCACUCUGUUGCUCAAGGUUGAGUGCAGCGGCGUGAUCUCUCCUCACUGAAACCUCUGUCUCCCAGAUUCAAGAGAUUAUCCUGGCUCAGCCUCCCAAGUAGCUGGGGUUACAGGUGCCUGCCUCCCCUUCCAGCUAAUUUUUUGUAUUUUUAGUAGAGAUGGGGUUUUGCCAUGUUGGUCAGGCUGGUCUUGAGCUCCUGACCACAGGUCAUCCACCUGCGUCGGCCUCCUAAAAUGCUGGGAUUACAGGCAUGAGCCACCAAGCCUGGCCUGUUUUUUUUUGUUUGUUUUGUUUUUGUUUUUUUUUUUUGUUUUGUUUUUUGAGACAGGUCCUGCUCUGUCCUGCAGGCUGGAGUGUAGUGGUAUGAUCUCGGGUCACUGCAGCCUCUGCCU
ensembl:lncRNA CTSLP2 cathepsin L pseudogene 2